rnacentral:lncRNA from 10 species
AAACCAUAUAACCUAGUUAGAAUCAUCCUAUAGACGAAAAAGGAGGUCUCAAAUGUAUGAUUGAACGAAGGCAAAUGUCCAAGAUCUUAACAACGUGAAGGGGACAUAAGGAAAAGAUGAGGGUGGGAAUGCGGGUGGGAGGGGACCCAGGCUUUCCCUCCGUGGGAGUAGUCAGAAGUCACCAGCCAAGAAGCACAGCUCCAGUGCAUUGCUUACAGGUAUGAAGUAUCCACCGGCCAUCUGAAAAUAAUGCAGUAACUAAGAAAAACAGUGGCGAGAGGAAGGAGUGUCGAUGCCCCAAAUGGAUCAUCUUCCAGAGCACGUCUACACCGAGAUCAAGAAUGAAAAGGUCUGGGCAAGAGGCCCCGCCGCGUUCCCUUAAUUCUCAGGUCUUUGGAGUGAAUGCCUAAGGCCUCCAAGCCCCGGGUCUCCUCUGUAUCAGGCGCUCACGCUGUGGGAGCUGCUUUCUCUCUGCUCCACUUCUACAGAGAAAGAAAAUCACAAGCAUUUCCCACACUUCCCCCAAGCCUUGACGUAUCACAGUUCACUCAUGGAGUUGUCAACAGACACAGGCACACACAGACCAGACUGUGGGCUCGGGAGGCGGGAACAAACCCCUCCUUCAGGAGACCUGGCAGCAGGCCAGGGGGCGCCCCAGGGCCCACCCAGCGCAGGGGCAGGCAGCCGCUCCCUCCUGCCCCUCGCCUGCUCCAGCUGUGGGCACUGGGGGCUGCCCCUGGCCCACCCCGCCCUUCAUCCCCUCACCUCUGCCUCACCCCAUGCU